CGUGGCGAACGGGUGCGUAACACGUGGAUAACCUUCCUUGAGGUGGGGAAUAACCCAGUGAAAAUUGGGCUAAUACCGCAUAACAUCGCGAUGGCACAUGCUGAUGCGAUCAAAGGCGCAAGUCGCCACAAGAGGGAUCCGCGGCCGAUUAGCUAGUUGGCGAGGUAAUGGCUCACCAAGGCAAUGAUCGGUAGCCGGACUGAGAGGUUGGCCGGCCACACUGGAACUGAGACACGGUCCAGACUCCUACGGGAGGCAGCAGUGGGGAAUCUUGCACAAUGGACGAAAGUCUGAUGCAGCAACGCCGCGUGGGGGAUGAAGCUUCUCGGAGUGUAAACCCCUUUCGACCCGGAAGAAUGCCCGCAAGGGUAUGACGGUACGGGUAUAAGAAGCCCCGGCUAACUACGUGCCAGCAGCCGCGGUAAUACGUAGGGGGCCAGCGUUGCUCGGAAUUACUGGGCGUAAAGGGUCCGUAGGCGGUGUAGCAAGUCGAUAGUGAAAUCUCUGCGCUUAACGCAGAGGCUGCUAACGAAACUGCUGUGCUAGAGUGUGAGAGAGGCGAGUGGAAUUACGGGUGUAGCGGUGAAAUGCGUAGAUAUCCGUAGGAACAUCCGAGGCGAAGGCGGCUCGCUGGAUCACAAC
rnacentral:rRNA from 1 species